rnacentral:ncRNA from 1 species
AUUUUAUAAAGAAUGAGGUGAGAGACUGGCUCGAUGACCCUCUGGCAACCCACUAUAAGUAUUGAUGUAUUUCAAUAUUGGAAAAUCGGUGCCAAUUCCAGAUUUGAAAGCAAUAGUGCAUUCAAAAAAUAUAAAAG